GAUGAAGAACGUAGCGAAAUGCGAUAAGUAAUGUGAAUUGCAGAAUUCCGUGAAUCAUCGAAUCUUUGAACGCACAUUGCGCCCGUCAGUAUUCUGGCGGGCAUGCCUGUUCGAGCGUCAUUACGCCCCUCAAGUCCCCUGUGGACUUGGUGUUGGGGAUCGGCGAGGCUGGUUUUCCAGCACAGCCGUCCCUUAAAUUAAUUGGCGGUCUCGCCGUGGCCCUCCUCUGCGCAGUAGUAAAACACUCGCAACAGGAGCCCGGCGCGGUCCACUGCCGUAAAACCCCCAACUUUUUAUAGUUGACCUCGAAUCAGGUAGGACUACCCGCUGAACUUAAGCAUAUCAAUAAGCGGAGGA
rnacentral:misc_RNA from 1 species